AUUGCCUCAGUAACGGCGAGUGAAGCGGCAACAGCUCAAAUUUGAAAUCUGGCCCCCGGGCCGAGUUGUAAUUUGCAGAGGAUGCUUUUGGCGAGGUGCCUUCCGAGUUCCCUGGAACGGGACGCCAUAGAGGGUGAGAGCCCCGUCUGGUCGGACACCGAGCCUCUGUAAAGCUCCUUCGACGAGUCGAGUAGUUUGGGAAUGCUGCUCUAAAUGGGAGGUAUAUGUCUUCUAAAGCUAAAUACCGGCCAGAGACCGAUAGCGCACAAGUAGAGUGAUCGAAAGAUGAAAAGCACUUUGAAAAGAGAGUUAAAUAGCACGUGAAAUUGUUGAAAGGGAAGCGUUUAUGACCAGACUUGGCCCGGUUGAUCAUCCAGCGUUCUCGCUGGUGCACUCUGCCGGUCCAGGCCAGCAUCAGUUCGCUCCGGGGGACAAAGGUUUCGGGAAUGUGGCUCCUCCGGGAGUGUUAUAGCCCGUUGCGUAAUACCCUGGGGUGGACUGAGGUCCGCGCAUUGCAAGGAUGCUGGCGUAAUGGUCAUCAACGACCCGUCUUGAAACACGGACCAAGGAGUCGUCUUCGUAUGCGAGUGUUCGGGUGCAAAACCCCUACGCGUAAUGAAAGUGAACGCAGGUGAGAGCUUCGGCGCAUCAUCGACCGAUCCUGAUGUUCUCGGAUGGAUUUGAGUAAGAGCAUACGGGGCCGGACCCGAAAGAAGGUGAACUAUGCCUGUAUAGGGUGAAGCCAGAGGAAACUCUGGUGGAGGCUCGCAGCGGUUCUGACGUGCAAAUCGAUCGUCAAAUAUGGGCAUGGGGGCGAAAGACUAAU
rnacentral:rRNA from 1 species